AGUGAACGCUGGCGGUAGGCCUAACACAUGCAAGUCGAACGGCAGCACAGUAAGAGCUUGCUCUUACGGGUGGCGAGUGGCGGACGGGUGAGGAAUACAUCGGAAUCUACUUUUUCUUGGGGGAUAACGUAGGGCCACUUACGCUAAUACCGCAUACGACCUACGGGUGAAAGCAGGGGAUCUUCGGACCUUUCCCGAUUGUAUUAGCCGAUGUCGGAUUGGCUAGUUGGCGGGGUAAAGGCCCACCAAGGCGACGAUCCGUAGCUGGUCUGAGAGGAUGAUCAGCCACACUGGAACUGAGACACGGUCCAGACUCCUACGGGAGGCAGCAGUGGGGAAUAUUGGACAAUGGGCGCAAGCCUGAUCCAGCCAUACCGCGUGAGUGAAGAAGGCCUUCGGGUUGUAAAGCCCUUUUGUUGGGAAAGAAAAGCAGCAGGUGAAUACCCCGCUGUUCUGACGGUACCCAAAGAAUAAGCACCGGCUAACUUCGUG
rnacentral:rRNA from 1 species